ACCGUUACUGCGAGACCUUCCUCGCUCCCCCAUCGGCAUCGGCUGCGGAAGAAACGACGUCAUUCAGCGUGGUCUGGAUGGCGCAUUGCGCAACUAAGCCGGUCGCCUUUGUCUUCUCUUCCAGCACCGGGCAAUGGCGACCCGUCUCGUCGCCAAGUUGGAGUGGUUCCAUUGCUGACUUGCUAUUGUUGACACAGAUGCCUCCCUUCUCCGGGCGCCAGUAUGCGUAUGGGUGCUUCUAUUGGCUCAAACUUUGGGGGGGACAGCUGCUGGAGCUUGACACUCGGAGGAUGGAGGUCUCCAUUAGUCAACUCCCACGCGAAAUCGGAUGUUCGCGUGGUGAGGAUAUAGAUAUAGCCAUUUUGGAGGCAGGGGAAGGCAGGCCCGGGAUGUUUGUGCGUUCAGAAUUCGCAAAUCACCUCGACUAUUUUGUUAGGGGGAACAAUGGUGGUUGGCAAUUUGAGAAGACCGUCCCACUGGAUUUUGACUGCUUGUUCAUCGGUUCGACGGGGAGGCACUUGUUCCUAUUUAAGCCCGGAAGCUCAUCACUCGAUGCACGCCUUUUAUCUCUGGAUGUCAAGACGUUCCAUCUUGAGAGUGUGUUUGUUUCAAACUCUUUCAUCACCUCAGGGCGCAGAAUCCGCACAUAUAGCAACUUCCCACCAUCGUUAUUGUCAACACCAAGAAUAUAAAAAACUAUCAAGCGGUGUUGAAAAGGGGGUUGAGGAGUUGCUGGAACAAGGCUGUGCUGCAAUGUCAAGACCACAUUCACCACGGUCAGAAUAGUGCCGAGAAUGCUGGAGGUCUGGCAGUGUUGUGGAUUAGAGAUGUUCGUCAUGUGUGGUGAUGCAACUCUUAAAAACUAAGUUGGUCUAGUAUGGUGAUUAUUGAACUAUUUGGCUGUAAUACGGCCACCUAGAAGCUAGAUUUUGUCUGCCUUGAUCUGACAAUGGUUAAUGCGUUUGCCAGAUAAGGUAGAGAGAGAAAGAGUAUUAAGUUUCUGCACAAUCAUUAGAUUAACUAAGACUUCUGUUUUUAUAUAAUGUGGCCGUGGUUUUGCUGUA